GGCCAGGCUGCCUGGCCUUGUCCUCAGCCAGUUAAAAUGUGUUUCUCCUGAGCUAGGAAGAGUCUACCCGACAUAAGUCGAGGGACUUUAUGUUUUUGAGGCUUUCUGUUGCCAUGGUGAUGGUGUAGCCCUCCCACUUUGCUGUUCCUUACUUUACUACCUGAAUAAAGAGCCCUAAGUUUGUACUAAAAAGAAAGAAAGAAAGAAAGAAAGAAAGAAAGAAAGAAAGAAAGAAAGAAAGUUCCCUUCUUAGUUUUCUAAGAGAUUUUUGUUUGUUUUUUGGUGUUUUAUUAAGGAUGGCUGUUGAAUGUUCUCAAAUGCUUUUCUGCACCAAUUCAAAUGAUUGUAUGACUUCCUCCUUUUUCUUUGUUAAUAAGAUUAAUC
rnacentral:lncRNA from 10 species